rnacentral:rRNA from 1 species
UGUCUAAGUACAUACCGUAUUAAGGUGAAACCGCGAAUGGCUCAUUAAAUCAGUUAUGAUUCAUUGGAUGUUGACCAAUUACAUGGAUAACUGUGGUAAUUCUAGAGCUAAUACAUGCCGAAAAGCUUCAUACUUGUUGUGGAGUGCAUUUAUUAGACCAAGACCAAAGGUGGUGACACCUUACGGUGGUGACUCUGGAUAACUGCAGCUGAUCGCAUGGCCUUGCGCCGGCGACAUAUCCUUCGAGUGUCUGCCUUAUCAACUUUCGAUGGUAGGUUAUGUGCCUACCAUGGUUGUAACGGGUAACGGAGAAUUAGGGUUCGAUUCCGGAGAGGAAGCCUGAGAGACGGCUACCACAUCCAAGGAAGGCAGCAGGCGCGCAAAUUACCCACUAUCAGAACGAUGAGGUAGUGACGAAAAAUAACAAUACGGGCUUCGCUUAUGCGUUCUCGUAAUUGGAAUGAGUACAGUUUAAAUCCUUUAACGAGGAUCAAUUGGAGGGCAAGUCUGGUGCCAGCAGCCGCGGUAAUUCCAGCUCCAAUAGCGUAUAUUAAAGUUGUUGUGGUUAAAAAGCUCGUAGUUGGAUCUCAGUCCAUACGCAGUGGUCCAUCUUGUUGGUGGUUACUGUUGCGUUGGACAGUUUACCGUUUCGUCCAUCGGUGUUCUUAACCGGGUGUCGGUGGCGGUCGGUACGUUUACUUUGAAAAAAUUAGAGUGCUCAAAGCAGGCAUUAUGGCCUGAAUAAUGUUGCAUGGAAUAAUGGAAUAGGACCUUGGUUCUGUUCUGUUGGUCUUCGGAAUCGAGGUAAUGAUUAAGAGGGACGG